rnacentral:lncRNA from 1 species
GGGUCCGUCUCCAUCGCGCUCACCGGCGCCAGGGCUGCCUCCAAGCUCGCCAAGCCGGACUCUUCGCAGCUCGGCUUCUUCCUUUGGUGAUAUAGAAGAUGAAAUUGUUUGUUCUUGUAUUCUGUUACAUGGUUUGGUUUUGUUAGCCAGAUUCAGUCUUUCUUUAUCUCAGCUGAGGUUGAUGUGGGUUUAUUGGCAGAUUAUUUACAAAAGAAAUUGUUUGAGGUCAAGAGUUGAUGCCAAAUGUCCUGGAUCAGGACAACUCCUGGGAAACAAGGCGAACGGUAUGUGCGUGCAAAAUUGAAAAUUGUACUAGAUAUGUGUAGUUUGCUCCAGGAUCCUAUAUCAGUGUAUUUGCUUCGUGCAGUUCCCUAUGUCAUCCAUUAUAUUUAUAUAGGGAUAAAUUUCCACGGGUUGUUGUAAGCAAAACUCCCUAUGUACCGGCACUUGUCUCUUUACAGACUGUCCGGGCUUUCUAGAUUAGAAUAUAAUUGUUUUAGAUAAUUCGAAAUAAGUUUUUACGCCAGCUUGCACCUUUAUUAUUUGCAGCCGGGAAGUCUAUUUCUUUUCUUUUUUUUGAUUCAAAACUAUUGGCAUGAAUUGGCCCUUGCAUUUGGUCUGAGCACUUACAAUAAUUCCAACCUGUCAAUUGGGGACAGAUAUGUCCAUCACACCUGUACCUUUUAUUCAGUUUGAGGAGGAAUAAGUAGUCAAUUGGCUGAUUAAUUAUGUUUCAUGUGAUUUGUAUAUGGACGCAGUUGCAACAGUUAGCUGCAUCAACUAUAAUUUUUCUUUCGCUGGCGGGGCAUGCAUCCCGACGAGUUAUACAAUUUAGCUGAUUUAAUUCGUGGCCUAACAAUACUUUUGGUAAUAGUUGUCAAGUAAAAAAGGAUCUGCUUUUUCGUAAUGAUGGCCAAAUAAAAGAGGAUCCAAACCCUCACGAGUUUACAUUGUACAAAGCUAUUAUGUGCUGACAAUAAUUUUUCUAAGUUGCUCUCUACAUCUCGGUGUUAUUAGUCUAAAUAUUCUGAUUCCAAAGGAUGUUUUCAAACAUCAGAUCUUUUAAUAAAUUUGAAACAACAUAUCUUUCUAAUUUUGGUUCUGUCUAAAAUGAUGAAAUUCAAUUUUGUUCUACUGCAUAUUAGCUUAAUCAUCUUCACCAGCAGUAUAUAUUGCAGAUAAUUGUGUUGGUUUGGUUUUUAGCAUGUAGGUAUGAUAUGGUAAGCCUCCAGUGAAGGAGGGGCUUAGAAAAAGAGAAACUGUUCUAUUUGAUAUACAAUGUAAUUUGGAAAUUAAUGGCAGAAGGCUCCUAAACUAACAUAUGAUGUUUUGUUUGAAUUUCUCUUUACCGGAUUGUGUUACUUCUGCGCAGUCACCAUACUUGACAAGGGUCCCUGAUUUUAUCACUUCCGUUGACGAGUCUUGUGUCAGCAUCUUGAUGCGAGGUACAACUUCUAGGUGAUCUUCUUCAUGUUUUACGUUGUUGUACUUUUUGCUGCAAUGUGGACGUACAUAUUCUAGCAGAUAUAUCUUCAUGCUUUACCUUGUUUACCACUGCCCUGAUGUGGAGGUACAGAUUCUAGCUGAUAUAUAUCGUCAUGUUUUACCUUUUACCAACAUCCAAGAUUUUUGUUUCCUCAUUUCUUUCAAUUAGAUAGAAGAUGGGACGUGCUUUGUUGUAGUUUCCUCUUACUUUGACUAAGUAGGACAUUUUUUUGAAAUACCAAAUUGUGGUGUCGCUACCCCUACGCACCACGGUUUUGCAGCACCCUCAGCUAAAGUAAACCAUUCCAAGCCUACCAUACUCGAAACAUGGAAGCAUGCAAACUUCAGAGCAUCUUGGUGUCGCUGGCCACCCGAUCUCUACAACCACCACAAAAUGCUACAGGACCAACCAGGCCGGUGUCCUGACCACUGAAUCAUGUCACUGUGUGGGCGCCUAGAUCUCCCAUGUGUCUGUCUAAAGCCUGAGGGGCCAACCUCGCUCGAGCGUCGCCAGCCAGCACUCAUCUGCACAUGAACAAAUGGUUGGAUAUAUGUGCCUCCUCCGUCUCUUAUUCCCCGAAACAUAAUUUGAUGAGUAGAGUUUCUAAUCAUUUAUGGCACACUGGCAUAUGAUUAAACUGCACAAGUUAGAUUGACAUUUUGUGGAGAACGGUCGUCGGUUGGGAGCCUCGCCGUCUACCUCCACCAGCCGGCCCACACACCAUUGCUCCCCGCGUGUCGCGCCCCUCCCCGAACCAUCAUGCCUUCUAAUUAGUGUACGUGGUAGUCUGGUAAAAGUGGAGAAUAAUUCGGGUAAUGUCUAUGGAUGUACUACCAGUAUUGCGGCUAACCUGCCUGGCAGUGAGAUGCAUCUAGAUUAGAUCUGAUUACUGAUAUAGAAGAUGCAAUUAAUUAUCUAAAAUUUUCCUUGUACCAUUUUCCAUGAGAUUAAUGUAAUUGGGAAUACCAGUGCUUGUUUGAAUCAUUUAGUUAAAUAAUUUUAUAGAUAAAACUUGUAUUUGUAUGUUUUGGAAUUACUAUUAUCCUGGUAAAAUGACCACAAGUGAAAGGGUUGUAAAGAUUAAUUAUUCUUUGUGGAAGCAUUACUGGUCUAAUUAAUAGAUGUACAUGCAUCAAUAAUGUUGUUGAGCUUUAGUUGAUUCUAUAGUGUUGUACUAUUCGCAAAGUUCUAUUUUGAGAAAAAAAUGGCAAAUUCAAUAUUGUGCCAGCUAAAUGGCGCACCCGCUGUAGCAAGUGAGUUCCCAUCAAAAUCACCCUGAGCAUAUUUUUGCUGAUUUUCAUGAUUGCUCUUCUGCCAGGAACAAUGUUCCUGGCACUUCGACCACACAACUGUAUGUUCAUGUUCCAGUGUCCUUAUUCAUAGUUAAUUUCAAUCACAAAGUGACAAAUGUCAGUCUAUUAGUUAACAUGUGUAUCUCCGUUUCUUCUAAGUUUCAAUCGACCUACUCUGAAGUUGUUCCUAAGAUAGUGCCUCAAGCAAAGGGAAUGAGCCUCAGUUAGUGCAUCUAGCAAGUUCGUGAUCCUUUGUUGGGAUAAACAUUUGUGCAAGAGCAAUAGUCUCGUCACUAUUGGUUGUUAGUACUGUUGCUUGUUAAUUCUACUUUUUACUUCAGUUCGUAAUGCAAUAUAGUUAUGCUUGACGCACUAUAAGAAGACUGCCAUUUUGCCUUUUGACCUUGGUUUCUUCCUCCAGUAAGUAAAUGCACAUAGUUCUUUUGUAAAUUAGAGCAUACGACUUGUUGAUCGAUCUCUGAGCUCAGUAAUAAUAUUAAGCCUCAAUCUGUUUAUUGUGCACACAAGAUGAGAAAGAAUUGCUACCCAAGAAUAUGUACUUUAUAAACAUUUCAACUGUAAUCUGGAAAAAAAUUAAAUAAAUAAGGAAACAGUAUAUUCAUAUAUCUUUUUUGUACUUUGAUGGUGUCACACCACAAGUUCCGAGAUGGUAAUUGUGCUGCAUAUGUCUGCUCUCUUACUUUGUUUUUCUGAACAGGUAGGUUCUGGAAGAUGUCAUGAAGAAUUUCUUUCAGAGAAUUUGCGUGAGGAGUGUCUAAAUGAUUUUUAUCUUCUGAACAUAUUCUUGUAUGACUAACUGAAUUCAUUUUUUCAAAACGUCGGUACUUUUCCUUUUUCAUUUAUGUUGCUCGAUUGAGUCCACAUGCCUGCCCUUACUGAGUUUGCUCAAGAGUAAGAUAAACUUGAUAUUUAUGUUUGUCGGCAGCAGCGUGACUAGCUGAUCUGUAGCGGCGCGGAAGGUGAGCUUGGCUGCAGGUAGCAGCUCCUUUGGCUGAUCUGCGGCGAUGCAGAAGUUGGGUUGGAAAGAAGCACGACCGGCUGCUCUGAAGUGGGACGUAGGGAGAGCUUCGUAAGAGAUAGGGAGGGAGCUCUAUUGGCCCGUGCAUGACAUCCAACCCAAUGGCAUCAUGCCCUGGUAAGCUUCUUAUCUGUUCCAAUUCUUGCACUUGGUCUUUUUCUUUCUAACCCUAAAAAUAGAGUGUGCCUUGAUUCCUAAUCAUGCUUUAAAAGCUGAUAUCCACCUCGUUUAUCUUGCUACUAGUGGUAAUGUGUGCAAGUAUGAUUUUGUGAUAAUGCCAGAUGUUGUGUGCCUUCUUUAUUCAUGGUACGAGUACUCUAACCUGGCUCGUAUGAUAAUGUAUCACUGCUAUAGAGCACAAACGACGUGUUUUUUAAUUAUAUUUUAGUUGACAUGGAUUUCAUUUAUCUUGUGAAUUGUAUAGUCAGAUCAUGAAUUUUUAUGAUUGAUUGAUUUUCAUGGUCACAGGUAGGCAUGGUUGUGUGGCCACGGGGAAAAUGGAGCAAGUAGCAUGUGAGGAGUUUAACAAAUGGGGACAAGGGACAGUUUAGUUAAUUAAGGCUCUAUGUUAGUUUCAAGUUUUAUCCUUGUUGCGGUAAAAAAUUAUGGUUGGAUUAACCACCAUGUACAUCUUUAAUUACUUUUAAAUAAGAAAUAUAAUCAAAAUAUUCUUUUGAAUUGAUAAAAUUUAUAUAAUUUGUACAAGUACAUGAAGGUGGAACAGGAGGAAGGGUGGGAGAAGAUUAGAUAUCGUUUCAUUUUCUUGCAAGGAAAGGAUGGUUACGAAGAAAUGACAAGAAAUGGAGGGACAAUCAGUUUUAUUACUGUAUGGAUGGAAACCACAUGCCAGCUUGUCCAACAUAUUUCUACAUUGAGUCAAUUAUUCAAUCGCUAUAUUUUUUUUAUUCCAUGGCAAUGCAUGGUCAUUCAACUAUUCAAAUUUACGGGUUAUUCAUCCACUUUUUUCAAGCUAUUUACAUAUUUGUCACUUGUCAGCAAGUUUGCAUAUGAUGCUAGGAAGUGAACAUAAGGACACAUAAACGUUGCAUUUUGAAUAUGAAAUAAACUCAACAUCCAAAUA